UACGGAGGAUCCGAGCGUUAUCCGGAUUUAUUGGGUUUAAAGGGUGCGUAGGCGGCCUGUUAAGUCAGGGGUGAAAGACGGUAGCUCAACUAUCGCAGUGCCCUUGAUACUGAUGGGCUCGAAUGUACUAGAGGUAGGCGGAAUGUGACAAGUAGCGGUGAAAUGCAUAGAUAUGUCACAGAACACCAAUUGCGAAGGCAGCUUACUAUGGUAUAAUUGACGCUGAGGCACGAAAGCGUGGGGAUCAAACAGG
rnacentral:rRNA from 1 species